UACGGAGGGUGCAAGCGUUAUCCGGAUUCACUGGGUUUAAAGGGUGCGUAGGUGGGCAAGUAAGUCAGUGGUGAAAUCUCCGGGCUUAACCCGGAAACUGCCAUUGAUACUAUUUGUCUUGAAUACUGUGGAGGUCAGCGGAAUAUGUCAUGUAGCGGUGGAAUGCUUAGAUAUGACAUAGAACACCAAUUGCGAAGGCAGCUGGCUACACAAAUAUUGACACUGAGGCACGAAAGCGUGGGGAUCAAACAGG
rnacentral:rRNA from 1 species